GUGCACAUUUCAUUGUCUUUUUUCUUUAUAUCGAGCGGAAAGAUACUUCUGAUGUGCUAAACAAACCUUUGGAGAUAAAUUUGCAGCAUGACUAAUUCAGCCAUCACUGUCACCUUCAGACAAGU
rnacentral:snoRNA from 1 species